GGUGCUUGCACCUGGUGGCGAGUGGCGAACGGGUGAGUAAUAUAUCGGAACGUACCCGGCAAUGGGGGAUAACUAGUCGAAAGAUUAGCUAAUACCGCAUAUGCCCUGAGGGGGAAAGUGGGGGAUCGCAAGACCUCACGUUGCCGGAGCGGCCGAUAUCAGAUUAGCUAGUUGGUGGGGUAAAGGCCCACCAAGGCGACGAUCUGUAGCUGGUCUGAGAGGACGACCAGCCACACUGGGACUGAGACACGGCCCAGACUCCUACGGGAGGCAGCAGUGGGGAAUUUUGGACAAUGGGGGAAACCCUGAUCCAGCCAUUCCGCGUGAGUGAAGAAGGCCUUCGGGUUGUAAAGCUCUUUCAGCUGGAACGAAACGGUGCGCUCUAACAUAGCGUGCUAAUGACGGUACCAGCAGAAGAAGCACCGGCUAACUACGUGCCAGCAGCCGCGGUAAUACGUAGGGUGCGAGCGUUAAUCGGAAUUACUGGGCGUAAAGCGUGCGCAGGCGGAUUGUUAAGCAAGACGUGAAAUCCCCGGGCUUAACCUGGGAAUGGCGUUUUGAACUGGCAGUCUAGAGUGUGUCAGAGGGGGGUGGAAUUCCACGUGUAGCAGUGAAAUGCGUA
rnacentral:rRNA from 1 species